AUGCUAGAGGGAAACAACCCUGACGAAAGUUAAGGCCCUAAAAUAUAUGCUAAGUGUGACUAAGGUUGUUCUGGUUCUCAGACAGUAGGGAUGUAGGCUUAGAAGCAGCCACCAUCUAAGCAACGCGUAACAGCGGACCUACCGAGAAUCAGGGCGCCGUAAAUGGACGGGGCUCAAGCAUAUUGCCGACACUUUCGCAUACUCUUCGUUAGAGAGUACAUGGGUAGAGAGGCGUAGUGCGUGGGUAGAAGUAGGGCUGUAAGGUCCUAUGGACCGCGCAAUAAUGAGAAUCCUACCAGUAGUAAUAGUAAAAAGUAGAGCGAACAUCUCUACCGCCGUAAGGGCCAGGGUUUCUUGGCAAUGUUCGUCAGCCAAGAGUUAGCCGAUCCUAACGCAAACCCUAACUGGAGUUUGCGGAAAGGGAAGCAGGUAAAUAUUCCUGCGCUAUAGAUAUACAUGUGGCAACACUAGAUUGAUUUCUGACACUUUGAGAUAAGUUGACAUGAACCAUCGUUCACGUUAAGGUAUGAAGUCCGGGAAGGAGCGUAAUGCUGAGAACCGGAUGAAGUGCUGAAGGUCUGCUGUAUGGUGGAUUCGACCGAAUCUUGGAGUCCAUGAAAAGGGAAUCAACCGGAUUAUCUAUAAUCGUACCGAGAACCAUCACUGGUGUCCCUCGGUUAAUAACCAACGGUGCUUCGGGACAAAUCCAACUUAAGGAACUCGGCAAAUUAGCCCCGUACGUUCGCAAGAAGGGGUGUCCAUUGCCAUGUCCUUGAGACAUGAUCAGUGGAUCUCAGUAAUAAGGGGGUUCCGACUGUUUAACAAAAACAUAACUGGUUGCUAAGCCGAAAGGCCUUGUAUAACCGGUGACUCUUGCCCACUACUGGUAUCUGAAACUCCGGUUCAACGGAGCUAAAGACCAGCCAAGGGCGGUCGUAACUAUGACGAUCUUAAGGUAGCGUAAUCCCUUGUCGAUUAAUUGUCGACCCGCAUGAAAAGAGGCACGAGAUCCCCACUGUCUUAAGUUGGAACCCGGUGAACCUGACGUUUUGGUGCAUAGUCCAAAGACUUCCAACGGGAAGCGAAGACCCCGUGGAGCUUCACUGCAGUCUGUGAUUGAUGCACGUUUCUGGAUGUAUAGCGUAAGUGGGAGGCGCCGAAGUUUGUCCUGCGGGACAGAUGGAGCCGACGAUGUAACACCACUCAUUUGGAGAUUUGCGUCUUACCCGAAAGGGGACAUUUAUAGAUAGGCAGUUUGGCUGGGGCGGCACACUCCUAACAACUUAUCAGGAGUGACCUAUGGUGUCCUCAGGCGGAACGGAAACCCGCCGUAGAGUUCAAAAGCAAAAGGACGCCUGAUAGGAUUCUGAACAACGAGGAAUCCUGCCACGAAAGUGUGGUUUAGCGAACCCUUGUGUCCCUCCAUCUGAGGGCCAAGGAUGACAGAAAAGCUACCCCGGGGAUAACUGAGUCGUCUCCUGCGAGAGUUCAUUGGCAAAUGUGGAAGAAAUUCUACAUAGCUGAUCUCUUGUAUUUACAAACCUGAAAAGGUUUGGAAAGCUUGAAAUUGCAUCGCAAUUUCAAGAUAUGACUCUGGUCUUCCCUUAUUUCUCUGUUUUCGCAAAAUGCGUAACGUUGAAGUUUGAGGACAAAUAAACAGAUAAAUACAUACAACAGAUAUAGAUGCAAUUUCAUGCCGAAAGGCUUUUGAAAUGCCUAAUAAUCCGGCAAGGAUUUUGAGGAACUAAAGGAGUCCUCAAAUCAUGCCGCUUUCGCGGCAAGCUUUUGGGCGUAACCCAAAAAGCCUAGAGCAAGCAAAGCUUGCGAAAGGAUUUUUAGGAUUAAGCAUCUUCAGAUAGAUCGACCAGGAGGCUUGCUACUUCGCUGUCGGCUCUUCCUAACCUGGCUGUGCAUAAGCAGCCAAGGGUGCGGGUGUUCACCGAUUAAAAGGGAUCGUGAGCUGGGUUCAAUACGUCGCGAGACAGUAUGGUUGCUAUCUGUUGGAAGUGUUUGCAUCUGAGGGCAAGGUCCGGAGAGUACGAAAGGAACUCCAGGCCGUAGCCAAUAGUGAAUCAGUGAUCCGACAGGGUCUCUGAAUAGCCACGCUAUUCUGGAUAAGAGCUGAAAGCAUAUUUGCGUUUUCGCAAAUAUCACUGAGCGCAAGCUUAAGUUGAUAUUUGCGUAGGGUACAUGCCCUGCGCGAAGCUGAUCUAAGCUCGAAGCCACGCCCAAAAAGAGAUGCAAUUGGCUCCCGUAGAAGACGGGUUCGAUAGACUGGAGGUGUAAGUGGAGCAAUCCAUUCAGCCAACCAGCACUAACCGCCAUAAAAAUGCAUACA
rnacentral:rRNA from 1 species